UACGAAGGGUGCAAACGUUGCUCGGAAUUAUUGGGCGUAAAGGGAGUGUAGGCGGUUUGGUAAGUCUUCUGUGAAAUCUACGGGCUUAGCCUGUAACGUGCAGAGGAAACUACCGAGCUUGAGUGUCGGAGAGGAUAGGGGAAUACCCAGUGUAGAGGUGAAAUUCGUAGAGAUUGGGUGGAACACCAGUGGCGAAGGCGCCUAUCUGGCUGACAACUGACGCUGAGACUCGAAAGCAUGGGGAGCAAACAGG
rnacentral:rRNA from 1 species